rnacentral:rRNA from 1 species
UGCCCAGAAGCGGGGGAUAACACCUGGAAACAGAUGCUAAUACCGCAUAACAACUUGGACCGCAUGGUCCGAGUUUGAAAGAUGGCUUCGGCUAUCACUUUUGGAUGGUCCCGCGGCGUAUUAGCUAGAUGGUGAGGUAACGGCUCACCAUGGCAAUGAUACGUAGCCGACCUGAGAGGGUAAUCGGCCACAUUGGGACUGAGACACGGCCCAAACUCCUACGGGAGGCAGCAGUAGGGAAUCUUCCACAAUGGACGAAAGUCUGAUGGAGCAACGCCGCGUGAGUGAAGAAGGGUUUCGGCUCGUAAAACUCUGUUGUUAAAGAAGAACAUAUCUGAGAGUAACUGUUCAGGUAUUGACGGUAUUUAACCAGAAAGCCACGGCUAACUACGUGCCAGCAGCCGCGGUAAUACGUAGGUGGCAAGCGUUGUCCGGAUUUAUUGGGCGUAAAGCGAGCGCAGGCGGUUUUUUAAGUCUGAUGUGAAAGCCUUCG